GCCUUCUCUCUGCUCGGGACCAACGGGUCCAACCAUCCAUCGGGUGGCGGCAGCGGCGGCGGCGGGGACUGUCCCGGCGGCAAAAGCAAGAGCCUCAACUGCUCAGAAUUAAAUGUGAGGGAGUCUGAUGUAAGAGUUUGUGAUGAAUCAUCCUGUAAAUACGGAGGAGUCUGUAAAGAAGAUGGAGAUAGUUUGAAAUGUGCAUGCCAGUUUCAGUUUGUCUUGGUCCCUUCCGUUCUUAUUUGUUGCUGUCUCAUUUCUUUAGGCCAAAGAACUUGACUGACUUGAAGCCUCAGGUGUCAUACAAAUUACAUUCCUGUUUGUGGAUCAAAUGGGGACACUUAUCAAAAUGAAUGCUUUCUUAGAAGGGCUGCUUGUAAGCACCAGAAAGAGAUAACAGUGGUAGCAAGAGGACCAUGCUACUCUGAUAACGGCUCUGGAUCUGGAGAAGGAGGAUGACCGGUAAGGGGAUCUUAACCCUUGACUUCGUGUUGUCAGCACCACACUCGCCCAACAUUCAAGAAUGACCAAAGAAAGAAAAUGCCAAGAUGAUUUCCAAAAAGUAAUACUAAAUUUGGUAAAAAGAAGCCCAAGUUAGAAAAUGCUACUGCAACAAACUUUAAAACAAAGACAAUACAUCUGCCUGAGCAACUCAGAGAAUGGAACACUUCCAACAAACAAUAGGAAACUUAACAUAAAGGAUCUGCUGUCACAGAUGCAUCACUACAAUGCUGGGGUUAAACAAAGUGCUCUUCUUGGACUUAAAGACCUUUUGUCUCAGUACCCA